rnacentral:rRNA from 1 species
CACUGACGUCGCGACGCAUAUCAAUAAGCGGAGGAAAAGAAACUAACAAGGAUUCCCCUUAGUAACGGCGAGUGAAGCGGGAAGAGCUCAAAUUUGAAAUCUUCAAGGGUUUUACCUUGACGAAUUGUAGUUUAAAGAAGUGUUUUCUGUUAGAGAGGUUUGGUAAAAGUUCUUUGGAAUAGGACAUCAUAGAGGGUGAGAAUCCCGUAUUUGACCUUUACUUUCAGACGUUGUGAUACACUUUCAAAGAGUCGGAUUGUUUGGGAAUGCAGUCCAAAAUGGGUGGUAAAUUUCAUCUAAAGCUAAAUAUUGGCGAGAGACCGAUAGCGAACAAGUACCGUGAGGGAAAGAUGAAAAGAACUUUGAAAAGAGAGUUAAACAGUACGUGAAAUUGUCAAAAGGGAAGCGUUUGACACCAGUGUUGUUUUUCUGAAAAUCAAUUAAAGAACUGUUUAUGCUAAGCUGUUUAGACUUUAUCAGCUAACUGUUUAGUUUUGAGCUUUUCUUUAAUGCACUUUUCAGUUAACAAGUCAACAUCAAUUUCUUUUGCUGUAAAAAAGCUUGAGGAAGGUGGCUUGAGAUUCGUCUUAAGUGUUUAUAGCCUCUUGCCUAUGCAGUCGGAGAGAUUGAGGUCUGCAGCGUAGAUCCUUCGGGGCUAAAUGCAUUUGUGCUAAGUUAUAGUCAUUUUAUAGGACAACUUGUUGACUAUAAUUAAUCCUUGUAACUUACUCGCUUAUGUUAUUUUACCUACGCUUAGGAUGUUGAGUAGCGACAUACGCAC